AUUGAACGCUGGCGGCCGGCCUAACACAUGCAAGUCGAACGAGUGGCGGACGGGUGAGUAAUGUCUGGGCAACUGCCUGAUGGAGGGGGAUAACUACUGGAAACGGUUGCUAAUACCGCAUACCAUCGGAUUGGCCAUGAUGGGAUUAGCUAGUAGGUGGGGUAACGGCUCACCUAGGCAACGAUCCCUAGCUGGUCCGAGAGGAUGACCAGCCACACUGGAACUGCGACACGGGCCAGACUCCUACGUGAGGCAGCAGUGGUGAAUAUUGCACAAUGGGCGCAAGCCUGAUGCAGCCAUGCCGCGUGUAUGAAGAAGGCCUUCGGGUUGUAAAGUACUUUCAGCUGGGAGGCGUUACCCGCAGAAGAAGCACCGGCUAACUCCGUGCCAGCAGCCGCGGUAAUAC
rnacentral:rRNA from 1 species